GGGUGGCACAAAAAAUUGUCAUUAUGUGGUUAUACUAAAAAAAAUUAAAAUCAAUUUUAUUACAUUUUUGCUAUUUUGAGAUAAGAUUUCAUCAUGAACUCCUCCCGCGCCGGUGAACGCGGUCCCCGACCAGUCCCACAACGGGUUCCGAACCUCACCUUCAUCUUCUCAUGCGCACCCUCAUUUCCGCCAUCCGGUCGAAAUCUUGCUCUAUCUCUUCUCGUUGAUUUCAGAGAUGGAAGAAUCCCAAAUUAUGACACAUUAUGCAUGCGAUUGCGGUGUUGAAGAAAUAUUCGGUUAAAGAACCGAGAGACAAAGAAGGAAAAUUUUACUAACUAGUUGAUUUAGUGUUACAAAAUUUUCCUUCCAUGCAAUAUUUUCUGAUUUUGUUGGUAUUUUCAUUCUGUGUUAGAUUAUAAUCCAUUGUGUUUAUUGCUCUUAGGGUUUCUCAUUUGAUUUUUAUCUGUUGGAUUUUGAAAAUAUAAACCUAAUUAGCUUUUAAAAUUAGGUGAGCAUUGUUAUGGAGCAAGUGACGCACCUUCUUCAUACUUGUGAUUUACCUGUAGAUGAUGUCGACUUCAUAAAUUUUGAUAGGAAUAUAAUGAACAAGCUGUUGCAAGAGAAUAAUUGUCUCUUUAUGUAAGGACAAGGCUGCUUCAUUUGAAACUCUUAUUUUUCCUUCCUCACAUAUGUAUUGUGGCUUAUGAGGAUUCAUGAAUACAUUAUCUUUAUAGGUGGGCCUUUAGAGAACCUUUCGAUUUUGACAGUAUAUGGUGCUGAUAAAUUGACUGCUUUUUUGUAUCCCUUGAGGAAAAUCUGAAGAGUAAAUAAGAAUCACAAGCAUGUAACAAAAUAAAUGUUUGGACCUUUAUAUUCAAAAUAUAAUAUUAGUUUUUUUAUUUGAUUGAUUAAUAA